GACGAACGCUGGCGGCGUGCUUAACACAUGCAAGUCGUACGGUAAGGCCCUUUCGGGGGUACACGAGUGGCGAACGGGUGAGUAACACGUGAGUAACCUGCCCACAACUUUGGGAUAACGCUAGGAAACUGGUGCUAAUACUGGAUAUGUGCUCCUGCUGCAUGGUGGGGGUUGGAAAGCUCCGGCGGUUGUGGAUGGACUCGCGGCCUAUCAGCUUGUUGGUGGGGUAGUGGCCUACCAAGGCGGCGACGGGUAGCCGGCCUGAGAGGGUGACCGGCCACAUUGGGACUGAGAUACGGCCCAGACUCCGAAGGGAGGCAGCAGUGGGGAAGAUUGAACAAUGGGCGCAAGCCUGAUGCAGCAACGCCGCGUGCGGGAUGACGGCCUUCGGGUUGUAAACCGCUUUCAGCAGGGAAGAAGCUUUUUGUGACGGUACCUGCAGAAGAAGCACCGGCUAACUACGUG
rnacentral:rRNA from 1 species